GAAUGAGUAGGUGUGUCCAAACUUUUGACUGGUACUGUAUGAGAAAAAAACCCAUAAAGCACUAUGAUGAAACAGCUUAUCAUUUAAUAGAUUUAUUGAUUGAUUGAUUGAUUUAAUUUGCCAGUUAAUAAAACACAUAUACUGCAUACACAUUACAUACAUUUUAAUAAUGUGACCGGGAUAUUACAAAACACUCCCUAAAUUCCAUGGUGCAAAAACAUUACAACAUUUAGACUACAUAGAUACCGUUACAUUACAUACAGACAUGAAGAAAGUUGUUUAUAUUGCUCGAUCAUUAGCCAAAUUUGGACAUUCUUUUAAAAAUGUAAUUACGAAGAUAGAUGCACAAAUCAAAAUGUUUGAUCUGUCUUGUUUGCUCUUUAAGGAAUAAAUGAUGGCUAUGAAGUGGAUAGUGAGAGAGUUGAGUACUCCUCUCAUCAAGACCCUUCCCCUUGGAAGAAUGAUCUCAAAACAUAGUCCACCCACACAGACAGUGUGGUGAAGAAGGUGCAACAGCGCCUCUCAACCACAGGAGGCUGAAGAGAACUCUCACAAACUUUUACAGACGCACAAUUGAGAACAUCCUGUCGUGCUGUAUCACCGCAUGGUACAGCAACUGCACUGGCUACAACCGCAGGGCUCUCCACCGGGAAAAAACUUCCUGUUCAUCCCGCUAUCAUCCAGAAGGCGAGGUCAGCACAGGUGCAUCAUAGCUGGGACCCAGAGAGUGAAAAACAGCCUCAGCCUGUUCACCCCGCUAUCAUCCAGAAGGCGAGGUCAGCACAGGUGCAUCAUAGCUGGGACCCAGAGAGUGAAAAACAGCCUCGGCCUGUUCACCCCGCUAUCAUCCAGAAGGCGAGGAGAGAAAAGACAAAACUGAAAACCUACUCUGCAGUACAGUCUAAAGGUCGAGUCAUGCGUCCUCCGAAACAUGACUCGCCAAACUUCGGUCCUUAACACUCGCCCGCCUGCCAGCCACACCAAUGUGUCGAAAGAAACACUGUUCAACUGAUGACAGCCUGCAGGCGCCCGCCACAAGGAGUCGCUAAAGCAUGUAGAGCCAAGUAAAGCCCCACCGGCCAAAUCCUUCCCUAACCCAGACGACCAAUUGUGCGCCACCGUAUUGGACUCCCGAUCACGGCCGCUUGUGAUACAGCCCGGGAUUGAACCUGGGUCUGUAGUGACACCUCUAGCGCUGCAAUGCAGUGCCUUAGACCGCUGCGCCACUCGGGAGGCUAGAGAAAAGGGAUUCUUAACAGAAGCUGCUGAGAACGCUUUAGAGAAUGUCACCAUACUGUUUAAUUGUUUUCUUCCAUCCAUUACCCUUAUCUGGCUAGAUUAUUUUAACGUUGUAAAAUGUAUACAUACUGUAUCGUACAAGAAUAAUAAUAAUAAUAAACCUGAUGCCUCUUA